ACUUAAAUUGAAGAGUUUGAUCAUGGCUCAGAUUGAACGCUGGCGGCAGGCCUAACACAUGCAAGUCGAGCGGUAGCACAGAGAGCUUGCUCUCGGGUGACGAGCGGCGGACGGGUGAGUAAUGUCUGGGAAACUGCCUGAUGGAGGGGGAUAACUACUGGAAACGGUAGCUAAUACCGCAUAACGUCGCAAGACCAAAGAGGGGGACCUUCGGGCCUCUUGCCAUCAGAUGUGCCCAGAUGGGAUUAGCUAGUAGGUGGGGUAACGGCUCACCUAGGCGACGAUCCCUAGCUGGUCUGAGAGGAUGACCAGCCACACUGGAACUGAGACACGGUCCAGACUCCUACGGGAGGCAGCAGUGGGGAAUAUUGCACAAUGGGCGCAAGCCUGAUGCAGCCAUGCCGCGUGUAUGAAGAAGGCCUUCGGGUUGUAAAGUACUUUCAGCGGGGAGGAAGGCGAUAAGGUUAAUAACCUUGUCGAUUGACGUUACCCGCAGAAGAAGCACCGGCUAACUCCGUGCCAGCAGCCGCGGUAAUACGGAGGGUGCAAGCGUUAAUCGGAAUUACUGGGCGUAAAGCGCACGCAGGCGGUCUGUCAAGUCGGAUGUGAAAUCCCCGGGCUCAACCUGGGAACUGCAUUCGAAACUGGCAGGCUAGAGUCUUGUAGAGGGGGGUAGAAUUCCAGGUGUAGCGGUGAAAUGCGUAGAGAUCUGGAGGAAUACCGGUGGCGAAGGCGGCCCCCUGGACAAAGACUGACGCUCAGGUGCGAAAGCGUGGGGAGCAAACAGGAUUAGAUACCCUGGUAGUCCACGCCGUAAACGAUGUCGACUUGGAGGUUGUGCCCUUGAGGCGUGGCUUCCGGAGCUAACGCGUUAAGUCGACCGCCUGGGGAGUACGGCCGCAAGGUUAAAACUCAAAUGAAUUGACGGGGGCCCGCACAAGCGGUGGAGCAUGUGGUUUAAUUCGAUGCAACGCGAAGAACCUUACCUACUCUUGACAUCCAGAGAACUUUCCAGAGAUGGAUUGGUGCCUUCGGGAACUCUGAGACAGGUGCUGCAUGGCUGUCGUCAGCUCGUGUUGUGAAAUGUUGGGUUAAGUCCCGCAACGAGCGCAACCCUUAUCCUUUGUUGCCAGCGGUCCGGCCGGGAACUCAAAGGAGACUGCCAGUGAUAAACUGGAGGAAGGUGGGGAUGACGUCAAGUCAUCAUGGCCCUUACGAGUAGGGCUACACACGUGCUACAAUGGCGCAUACAAAGAGAAGCGACCUCGCGAGAGCAAGCGGACCUCAUAAAGUGCGUCGUAGUCCGGAUUGGAGUCUGCAACUCGACUCCAUGAAGUCGGAAUCGCUAGUAAUCGUAGAUCAGAAUGCUACGGUGAAUACGUUCCCGGGCCUUGUACACACCGCCCGUCACACCAUGGGAGUGGGUUGCAAAAGAAGUAGGUAGCUUAACCUUCGGGAGGGCGCUUACCACUUUGUGAUUCAUGACUGGGGUGAAGUCGUAACAAGGUAACCGUAGGGGAACCUGCGGUUGGAUCACCUCCUUACCUUAAAGAA
rnacentral:rRNA from 1 species